UCGGAUAUGGUGUAACGGCUAACAUUGCCGCCUCUCAUUCGUAAUUAACGGACCGCGGCAGCUCGGGGUUCGAUUCCCCGUAUCCGAA